UACGGGGGGGAGCAAGCGUUGUCCGGAAUUAUUGGGCGUAAAGAGCUCGUAGGCGGUCUGUUACGUCUGCUGUGAAAACCCAGGGCUUAACCCUGGGCUUGCAGUGGAUACGGGCAGACUAGAGGCAGGUAGGGGAGACUGGAAUUCCCGGUGUAGCGGUGAAAUGCGCAGAUAUCGGGAGGAACACCAAUGGCGAAGGCAGCUCGCUGGGACGGUACUGACGCUGAGACGCGAAAGCGUGGGGAGCAAACAGG
rnacentral:rRNA from 1 species